CGCGGGGUCCCCAGGCCGGCCCCGCCGCCCCUGGCAGGAGCAGCCGGGGGAGCGGGCGAGCAGCGGCCCCGCCCGCAGCGGAAGAUCUGAAUUACGGUAAGAUGCCUCUACCUACAUCUUCCAUCAUGGCUGGCUGUCCACUCUCUUGAAAGAAGAAAGUAAGUGAACCACAAUUUCCCCAUAUGAGGCAGUGAUUCUGAAGGAGGAAAGUGAGAAAACAGUGCAGAAAGCUUCAAGUGACUGUGAGACAGGCUGUUUUCUAAACCAGUGUGAUGCCUCAGGUGCAGAAGAGAGAGACAAUAAUUAACAAUGUGGCCUACAGCAUCUUGGGGAACAAUUAAUUUUAGUGAAUGGACAAGGGGAGGAAGUGGGAAGAAACAACUGCAUGAAGGAGGUUCCAGUUGGCUGACUGCUCCUUGUGCAAAAAGAAUCCCCAAACUUGGGCAUUUUCCUCUUCCAAAUGUGCAGGCUAUGACAGCAGGGAAGACUACAGAGUGUCUUUCAGGAUGUAAAGGCUGUCAUUUGUACAUCCAAGAAAGGUUCAGUCCUGUGCUGCUGCCUGGUGAAAGAUGCCUCUUACAGAGAGGUUCUUGGAUUCCAGCUCCCAGGCUGGCCCUGGCAUUAAAGUGGAAUGCACCCUGCUGCUUUACAGAUUUGUUGGCCCCAGCUGAAGCACUUGGAGAAUAAAGUACACACCAGUGUGACAGAGGAUCACAAACCUGAGCUCUUUACUCCUCUUUCCCUCAUUAAGCCAGGGUACAGAAGAAGGAUUUGCUAAUGCUUGGCUCCCACCUGUGCUCUGCAGUGAGACGUGGCAAAGCCCAAUCCUCAAGCCUCCUUCCUGAGAUCAGAGAAACAGGAUUUUAUUGAAAACUCCUGGAGAGCAUCCUUCUGUCACUUUCAUUUCAAGUUCCAUUGUGCUUCAACUUUUGGAAGGUCUUAUCCCUCUGCCCAGGGGCAACCAGCCUGAGAUGGGAUCCUCAGGAUUAUCUCUGUGAAACACAGCAGAAGGAUGCUAAUGGCUCAUUCAAUGUGGUUUCACUUAAAGAAUUUCUGCAUGUCCUAAUUUUUGGUCAGUGUGCACUUUUCUUCUGUGCUGGAUAAGAAUUGUUUCAUUUGCACCAUUUGCAAAACUCAUCAGGCCCAGAAGGGCCAAAUUUUAUCACAGAAGUUUGAUAAGGCCAGCACAACAAAGCCUGCUACAGAAUUGCUUUUUGUUGGACAUAUUGUUGCUGUGAGAAUGUGCCAUCUUCUGCUUCAGGACAGUUGUGUUUUACCACACACUCCCUGAGUGAGACCUACAAUCCCACGCACAUUUUUUCCCUGUCUUUGCAUUGGGAACCAGUGCUCAGACAGAGAGCUGUGCUGCUCUCCUGCUGGGAAUCCUGCAGCAGCCACCCCUGCCUGUCUCCCCAUCUCCAUUUCCCUCCUGAGCUUUGUCUGAUGUGCAUCAGGUGCUGUGAUUGCACAUUUCCCUCAGCUGUGCGUUAGCAGAGCAGUUCCAGGUCUGUGACUCUGUGUUGCUGGCUGGGUGAGGAGGCAGAGAGAAGCAGGCAGGGAUGGGAUCUCCAGCCUGGCAAACCAGGGUCCCAUGGGCUGGGGGAGAGCACAGCUGAAAUCUGAUCUCCCCUCAGCAUACAGCAGCACAGAAUUCCUGCCACUGCUGCAAAGUCCACUUUUGGGCUUACAGCAGCUGGAUAUCCCAGCAUUUUCAGAAGUCCUCAGCAGAGUCUGGUGUGAACUAUCUCCCGUGGGCAGCAAGGAAAGAAACCUCUCCUAACCAGAGAGUGUGAUAGUAAAUGCCCUCAAGUGGUUUCAGAGGAGAUAAAAGAUUGGAUAUCAGGAAAAAUGUCUUCAUCAAAGGAGUUGUGAAGCACUGGAACAGGCUGCCCGGGGAAGUGGCAGAAUCACCAUCCCUGGAGGUAUUUAAAAGACAUGCAGAUGUGGUGUUUUGGGACAGGGCUUAGUGGUGCACUUGGCAGUGCUGUAUUAACAGUCCUGCUUGAUGGUCUUUGAGUUCUUUUCACUUCUAAAUGAUUCCAUGAUUCUAUGAAAUGGUUCCUGUCUUGCUUCCUUCUGUGGGUAUACUGGCACACCUGCACAAGCUUAGUGUCAAACAUCCAUCAUACUUAAUGAGUAAUUUUGGAUUUCAAAACUAUUUAUACAUGGGGAAUGAAACCAGAGGAAAAGGGGAGUAGAAAAAUGCUGCAAAUUUUUGAAUAGAAACACCAUGGGGGCAUUUCUUCACAGCACUGCAAGAAUCUACUCUUACAAACCUUUUUGAAAACUCUGCCACUUUGGUUUGAAACAACAUGGUGUGAGGUUUUUCCCUGAUGCUCACUUUAAUUACCUUUUGCUCCCUAAUAAAUUUAGAACACUUAAAUUGAAAAUAGCUAUGAUCCACAGCCCCCACUCAUUAUCAGAAAUCUGUAUGCAGUUGCACCCAGUGUUUCAGUUUGCAUAACU